rnacentral:rRNA from 1 species
AGGGUUUGAUUCUGGCUCAGGAUGAACGCUAGCGGCAGGCCUAACACAUGCAAGUCGAGGGGCAUCACAGGUAGCAAUACCGGGUGGCGACCGGCGCACGGGUGCGUAACGCGUAUGCAACCUACCCAUAACAGGGGGAUAACACUGAGAAAUUGGUACUAAUACCCCAUAACAUCAGAACCGGCAUCGGUUUUGGUUGAAAACUCCGGUGGUUAUGGAUGGGCAUGCGUUGUAUUAGCUAGUUGGUGAGGUAACGGCUCACCAAGGCAACGAUACAUAGGGGGACUGAGAGGUUAACCCCCCACAUUGGUACUGAGACACGGACCAA